rnacentral:rRNA from 1 species
CCCUUAGAUGUUCUGGGCCGCACGCGUGCUACACUGAGUGGAUCAGCGGGUCAGGUUGCGCGAAAGUGUUUCCUAAUCUUGAAAUCCGCUCGUGAUGGGGAUUGACGGUUGCAAUUUUCCGUCAUGAACGAGGAAUACCUUGUAAGCGCGGGUCAUCAUCCCGCGCUGAAUACGUCCCUGCCCUUUGUACACACCGCCCGUCGCUCCUACCGAUUGAGUGGUCCGGUGAGGCUUUGGAAUCUGAGCGGAAAGAGCGUUUCGCUGUUUCUGCUCGGAAAACUCAGUCGAACCUUAUCAUUUAGAGGAAGGAGAAGUCGUAACA